GCCAGUGUGGUUUAGUGGUGUGAGCAUUGGACUACAACUCUGGAGACUAGGGAUUGACUCCCCACUUAGCCA